rnacentral:rRNA from 1 species
AGAGUUUGAUCCUGGCUCAGAACGUACGCUGGCGGCACGCCUAACACAUGCAAGUCGAACGAAGUAGCAAUACUUAGUGGCAGACGGGUGAGUAACAUGUAGGUAUCUGCCCUUUGGCCUGGAAUAACACGAGGAAACUUGUGCUAAUACCGGAUAAGUCUUUACGGAGAAAGCUUUAUGCACCAUUGGAUGAGCCUGCACUUGAUUAGUUUGUUGGUGGGGUAAUGGCCUACCAAGACUGUGAUCAAUAGCUGAUUUGAGAGGAUGAUCAGCCACAUUGGGACUGAGACACGGCCCAAACCCCUACGGGAGGCAGCAGUGGGGAAUCUUGCACAAUGGAGGAAACUCUGAUGCAGCGAUGCCGCGUGAGUGAAGAAGGCUCUUGGGUUGUAAAGCUCUUUCGUCGGGGAAGAAAAUGACUGUACCCGAAUAAGAAGGUCCGGCUAACUUCGUGCCAGCAGCCGCGGUAAUACGAAGGGACCUAGCGUAGUUCGGAAUUACUGGGCUUAAAGAGUUCGUAGGUGGUUGAAAAAGUUGGUGGUGAAAUCCCAGAGCUUAACUCUGGAACUGCCAUCAAAACUUUUCAGCUAGAGUAUGAUAGAGGAAAGCAGAAUUUCUAGUGUAGAGGUGAAAUUCGUAGAUAUUAGAAAGAAUACCAAUUGCGAAGGCAGCUUUCUGGAUCAUUACUGACACUGAGGAACGAAAGCAUGGGUAGCGAAGAGGAUUAGAUACCCUCGUAGUCCAUGCCGUAAACGAUGUGUGUUAGACGUUGGAAAUUUAUUUUCAGUGUCGCAGCGAAAGCGAUAAACACACCGCCUGGGGAGUACGACCGCAAGGUUAAAACUCAAAUGAAUUGACGGGGACCCGCACAAGUAGUGGAGCAUGUGGUUUAAUUCGAAGAUACGCGCAGAACCUUACCAACACUUGACAUGUUCGUCGCGACUUUAAGAGAUUAAAGUUUUCGGUUCGGCCGGACGAAACACAGGUGCUGCAUGGCUGUCGUCAGCUCGUGUCGUGAGAUGUUGGGUUAAGUCCCGCAACGAGCGCAACCCUCACUUUUAGUUGCCAUCAUUUAGUUGGGCACUCUGAAAGAACUGCCAGUGAUAAGCUGGAGGAAGGUGGGGAUGACGUCAAGUCCUCAUGGCCCUUACGUGUUGGGCUACACACGUGCUACAAUGGUAUCUACAACAGGAAGCAAAACUGCGAAGUUAAGCAAAUCCUUAAAAGAUACCUCAGUUCGGAUUGCACUCUGCAACUCGAGUGCAUGAAGCUGGAAUUACUAGUAGUCGUGGAUCAGCGUGCCACGGUGAAUGCGUUCCCGGGUCUUGUACACACCGCCCGUCACACCAUGGGAGUUGGUUCUACCUUAAGGCAAGGUUUCAAACCCUUGACCACGGUAUAGUCAGCGACUGGGGUGAAGUCGUAACAAGGUAACC